GUUAGCAGAAUGUAGCACUUUUGAGCUAUUAUGAUGCAUGGACAUAGUAUUGAUGAGAAAGAAUGCCAUCAGAGUCAAAAAAAAAAAAGUGAAAGAGUAUCAGUAAAAGCAAAGCAGAAAGACUUGGGUUAUCACAUAACUGCAGCUAGGUAUUCCCUCGGGAACAAAGAAGAAAAAAGAAAAUGCAUUUUUAGCAGGAAAUUAAAAACUUACCUAAAUGUCCUGGCAGAAAACCUUGGUAUAGGGCCACUAAAAUUGUUGAAAGACAAAUCCCUGAAGCAUAAAAAUAGCAAAAAGUAAAAAAAAAAUCUUUUUAACAGUAAUAUCUCAUUAGAGAGAUUAUUUUUCAUAUAAAUGAAACAGUAAAUAGACAAACUUACAGGAAAGUGAGUUCAGUGAUACUUGCCAAAGCCAGAGGAAAUGCACCAGAGAGACUGUUAUUAUUUAGCCUUCUGUUCUCAUUCCACAGAAAGAACAAAAAAAAACAUGGAAGUAAACCAAUAGUUAGAAACUACAACAUUUCUUUCUUCUAUUAUGGCCUUUCAAGAUUAACCAAAACAAUGUGGGUUAACUCCAUUUUUCUUUAGAAACAACUUACAGGUACUGAAGACCCUUCAGGUGUCCCAGUGAAGCAGGGAUUUCACCAUGGAAGUGGUUGCUGGAGAGGUCAAGCUUGUGGAGCUUGGAAAGCUUCCCAAUUUCUGGUGGUAUUGAUCCUGAGAUGUAGUUAUUCUGCAGGAGCCUACAAAAGCAUCCAAAUAUCAGCUACUAGUGAGGACCUAUUUGACCAAGCACUUAUCAAGAAAUUGCUUACACAAACUCAAGAUUUGUCAAGUUGCCAAUGCUUGGAGAAAGUGUUCCAGACAUAUUCUGGCUUGGAGUUUCUCUGUGAAAAUUAUAUCAUCAGAAUGACUUCAGAUUCUCAUACAAGUAUUACAAGGGAGGAGAGAAAGAAAAAUCCACAUUUAUUUCCAAGUGAUACUCACAGGCCAAUGACCAGAUUUUCAGGUGAGCAUGAGACCAUACUCCAGCUGCAUGGAUCAACAGAGUCCCUGUCCCAAUUCCCAAGAACACCAUGAGGAUCCUUGAGUGAUGCUUUUAUGUCCAUUAGAGCUUGCACUGCAAAACAAAUUAAAAAUCAAGACUUUCAUCCAUAGAGAGAUUGGAAAGGGAAGAGGCAUGGUGCAUGUUCUACCUUCAAAGUUAACACCUUUAGGGGAAAGCAAAGCAGAUGCAAAGCCCAAGGUCCAGAAGAAGACCACCCAAUGGAGCACAGCCCUUCCCUUCUUUGUUCCCAUUGAUGAGCUCACUCGCUCCACAGAGCAGCCCAUGAAUGGCUUUAUAAUUUGCAGGGAUACAUGGUGGAGUCAGCAGGUGGUGAAACCAUCGAUGAUGUUUCUCCUUUCCAUCACCUCUCUCUCAUUUCAGCAGCCAUGAAAACCCAGUAGGCUUGAUGCCUUGGUAGCAUGUAAAGGAGGGAGGAACAGAGACAUGCCUGCCACUAGGGUAUGCCUCUCUACUUUGAGGAGGAAUGGAGUAUAUUUCUCCAACAGAAUCAAACUUAGAACAGAACAUUUCCGCUCUACCACUGGAUCAGAGGAGGGGGAGGGAGUGAAAGCCACUUGACGCACAAAAGAGCCCUUGAUGAUGGUGCUUAAGGGACAAGACGAUGCGAAAUGGGCCUCACGGGGUCCACGCCAUGUCCCAAAGCUUGCUGCUGCACUCGAUCCCCGGCAGCUGCAACCUCGAAUCGAUGCCGACUGACGGAUAAGCCAUGCCUUGGUGGGGCAAGAACGGACAGGUUGCGACAAAGAUAGCGGGAGAUCAUGGCCGCGACCUCGCAUCGAGCUGUCGCGAACAAGCAUCUAAGCAGCGUCCAGUGCCCGUGCGAUCUCAUUCCGGGAGUGCAACCAUCCUCUGCGAUCCACGACAGCGACUGAGCUCGGUGGUCCAUUUGGCUCGAUCGCCCCGAGGAACAAUUCUGAGCCCCAAGCAGGAAGCUUUGUUGUGCCUCACCGAGAACAUCUGAAUCAUAACAAGAUGCUGCAAUGGAUGAUGCCCUCUAAGCUUGGCUGGUCCACUUGGUCAAGACAAAGACACAUAGACCAAGGAAGCUGUUAAGGUUAACAACACAGUANNNNNNNNNNNNNNNNNNNNUAUAUAUAUAUAUAUAUAUAUAUAUAUAUAUAUAUAUAUAUAUAUAUAUAUAUAUAUAUAUAUUUAUACAUAUAUAUUUAUAUAUGUAUAUAUAUAUGUAUAUUUAUACAUAUAUAUGUAUAUAUGUAUAUGUAUAUAUAUAUGUAUAUAUAUAUGUAUAUAUAUAUGUGCAUAUACAUAUAUGUAUAUAUGUAUAUGUGUAUGUAUAUGUAUAUACACAUAUACAUAUAUAUAUAUAUAUAACUCAAAAUUAAGAAAAAAAUAAAUCACUUAUUUAUUGGAUUCAGCUACAUUUCCCUUGAGCUCACUGAGGAAGUUUUACAACAAGACAAAAGUCAAGGAGAGAUGAACAAGACAAUUUAAUUGAGACAGGCUAGGGUUAUGCUUUGGUUAUAGGGCAUUGGAGUUUACAGCUCCUGAAACAAGGAGUGGUCCAUAUAUUGGGAUGUGUGGAGGAAGAACACAACACAUCUUGGUUGGCUGUCCUUGCUCUGUUUUAGUGAGAUUAUUAUGUGUGGCACAGUUUCAAAUGUGUUGAUGGUGUUGACACUGAGGUCAGAUGUUUCAUUGGAACAGCAUGUGAAGGAAGACAGUGAGGAGAAGACAAUUUGAUGAUGUGCAUGGGUGCUUCAGGAUGAUUAGUCUGCAGCCUGAGAGAGAUGCAUUCAUUACCACCCUCAGUAGCCAUGAGCAGGCCACUGCAAAAGGGAUGAGCAAAUGACAGGCUCAGGGUGGGGAUCAAAGCAGGCAGCCAAUCAAAAGCAAAAGCUGUCACAUCUGGCAUUCCUUUUCCUGCUUUCUUCAUGCAAACAAAUUAAGUGCAGAUGUUUUAUUUGCGCAUUAAUUAUUUAGGGUAACCUAAAAACUGAACUCGAGACAAAUAACAGCAAUGGAGUGCCUCUCGAGACAAAGAACAAAUUACAAAGCAGAAAGAAAUGAUUAUUCCAAAGUUAAAUACUGAACUCGAUUUCGACUAGCUGGACAACCGCAGCAUGCAAAACAAUAAAGCUUGCUGAGAUUCACAAUAAUGCAGCAUGUUUACAUGAAAAUAAAUAACUCGGUCUAUGUGCCAAAAGGAUCAAGAACAGCAGUUAAAAAUAUUGACGGAGCAUCUAAUUGUGGUUCCAACUGAGACAGAUUAUGAUGAAAGAAAUCACCAAGCAAAGCUUCAACCUCCUAAUAGCAUAAAAGGCUUCGAGCGAGGGCACUAGAAAGAAAGUCAAGGCAUGCAAAUUCAUCUAUUCCUCCCUUGAUGUAGGGUCCAUUCCGGUGGAAGGGUUGUCGGCGAAGUAUUCUUGGUGUUUCAAGUUCACUCCAUACUGUUCAGUGAUAACAAACUGGCAUUAGCUUUGAGAAAUUAAAAAAAAAAUGCUUCUUGAUAUGUAGCUGACAUUCAGACAUCAAUAUCUGAAGACAUGCUUGAAAUAUGCAUAUACAUAUAGAGAGGGAUCCAUGUAAUUAUAACAAAUUCAUUUUAGCAUAAGCACUUCAUCUCCAUUAUGGUGAUUAUAUUCUGAUAGAAGAUCCAAGUGCACGUAACCCUAAAAGACAAGAACAUAAAGGAGAAUUAUGCACUAAAAUUAAUAAAUCUCUAAUCAGCAUUAAUAUUUAAUUUAAUUAAUUGAUGAUGCAUGAUGCCACUUGAUAGUUAAGCUGCAUGAUUAAUCGAGUGAGAAACUAAUGAAGCAACAAAACAUAAUUCUUCACUUAAUUUUGAAAUUGAUUUGUCAUGAAAGAGAAAUGUGGUUACUAAAUUGUCUGAAAAGUUCAAUUUUAUCUUCUGUUUAAGUAAGCUGGUAAACAUCAGUGUAUUAAAUUGAUGACACACACAACUCAUUCAUGAUCUAUUUGACCACAGGAACACAAAGAAUCACCAAUGCAUGUGGCCUACAGAAGAAGCUACUUUUCUGCCGUAUGCAGAUAUCUACAGGUUCAAGCAUCUGGAUGAUCCUCUAAAUGCUCCUCCAAAUUUUGUGCCAUUUUUUCCCAAAUAUAAUGCCCACAUAUAUCAACAUACCAAGUUAUCAAAAUAUAGAGUACCAGACUACUACUUCUGGUCGUCUAGAAAAAGUUCAGAAACAGAGAUGAAAUAUUUACUUACCUCUUGGAGGGAUUUUGAAAGAUCCUCCAUUGCUAAGACAAGCCUCUUAUCCUGCAGCAUAAAAACUUAAUCACCUAGAGUACAAGAGUAAACAUCAGAUUUUAUUAAUUAAGAAGGGAUGUCGCAGGCCCAGCACCUUUGGCUGCUUGCUCUUAUCCUUAACUGGCGCUGCUUGCCUGGCCUUGCAAUGCCUAGUUAAGUAUUGCAAAGAAAAUGAAAGAGAAAGCAUUAGUAACCAUAUUUUCAAAAAGACUUAUCAAAGAUCUUUUUAAAGGGAGCUGGAAGGUGAAAAGAAGCUUCACUUAGUGAGAGCUUGUUGCUGCCCUAACUGCAUCUUGUAUAAUUGUCUUAACAGUUAGAGACAAACAUAUUCAGCAUUUAAUUCCUCAAAUUGGAAAACCUAUAGCUUUUCUUCUCAUUUAGGAGAUGAAUAUUACCUUAAUGCAUGGAACAGAAAGUGAAGAAUAAAAUAAUCCUAUUGAAAAUAUUACAAUUCUAAGGAUGGAAUUUGUCCUUAAUCCCUUAGACUGAGUAGGGAAAAUAGAGAAGUAUGCUGAGUAUUCCGACAACAAUAAAUAAACUUGUUGAAUAGCCAUGUAGGAGAGAUGGAAUUUUGCCAAGACCCAUAACCAAUGAAACAAAGGUCAGGCAAUAUUCAGCAACUAUAAAAAAAAACUCACUGAUCAGAUUGUAUGGAUCAACCAAUAAUGUCCUACCAUCAAACUGGCAUUUGCCUGCAUGUACCAUGUUUUAAUACAAACAAAAUGGUGAACGAAAAUAUGAGAACAUUGACUGCCUGAAUAAACCACUUCAAAGGAAAUUAUUUUUCUGCACUAUGAAAUGCAAGAAUUUAUUAUUUUUCACAAUUAAACAUCAAAACAUAUAUUGUUUACACAACCAGUAAUCCACAUUUAAACUACAAGCAGAAAUAACAUUUUAGAUCAUAAUUAAUCAUUCAUUCCAUUAAAGUGGAAAUGUCUCAUAUUCAACCAAAUAUCCAUGAUUACAAGAUGCAAUUAAUAAAAUAGAAAUGAAAGAGAACAACCGAAAAACAAAUGGAAUGCAUAAAAAUAAAACAUACUGAAGAGCAUCAUUUGCAACCUCCAACAUAAACUUUUGCGUUGCGACAGAUACCAGCCUGGUUCUGACAAAAAAACAGAAAGUACUAAAAUAUUAAGCACAAAGAAAAACAAGCAAAAUUCCUCAUUUUCAAAGAUAUUAAAAAUAAAAACAUGACACCUCAAAGUUUGCAACAGAAUAGCACAACUGUCAUAUGAUAGUUCUGACAACAUUUUGCAGGACUUUUUGUGUUUUUCUUCAUUAAGUGACAAAAGAUUAUAUAUUUUAAUAUAUCAUUGGCAAUUUGCGCUCCAAUAUAUGUUUUUCUUCUCCAACUCAGAAGCACUAUAUUUUGAGGAUAUUCUGAAUAUGUACUAUCAUCAAAGCAAAUAAUUACUAAGACAAGUCCCACUGAUUUCUUCGGUAACAAAAGAAUUACUCAACAGGUUUGUCAACAAACAACAAAGAGAAACGUGGGAUCUUUCUUCUGAUACUCUCUAGAUAGAACACCUCUCCAUGAGAAGUGUAUUUUUAUUUCUUUUUUCAAGAAAAAUAUCUGAAAUAAAAUUCCCAGCACAUCUUCUGUUUCCCUAGGUGUAGAGUCUAGGAACAGUUCAAUUUGAUAAAAAAGGAGAUUUCUCAAAAGUUGGGAGAAGCAGCACACUGCUGAUCAAUGUACACUUGCUCAAAGAAACGCUUUCCUCAGUCUCUAUUUGUAGUUAGUCUUUAGAAGAUGGAAUCAACUAAGCAUGCCUGAAUUGAUUACUGAAGUUGAAUCUAAGUCGCAUCAAUAGUUUUCCAAUGCCUUUCUAAUCAUUUUAUAUUCAUUAUUAGUAUUUAACUGACAAUGUAAAGCUUGUCCCACCUGCGUGAGCUAUCACAUACAGUAACAAAUAUGAGAUGGUACAUACCUAUGUCUAUCUAAUAACUUAGCUAAGACUUGAGAGAGAACCAUAUUUAUAGAAACUAUCAAGAUAAAAUUGAGAUAUAACUUAUCUAAGGCCUUAGAGAAAUGAAGUUUGAGGUUGAACAAAGAGAGCCAGUGCCUCCUUUUCUAGUCUUCUGAGAUAUAUGCAGAAGACUGGAGCUGAAUCAUUUCCUAUUCACAUCAAAUUGGGUGUGCAUCCUAAAUAUGAUGAUUUUCUAUAGCCGGUUUCUCAUUUUCCUUGCUUAAAAUUUCCAAUGUCAAUCUCUCUGCACUUGCUGGAUUAUGCAUCCUAGUCCUAUAGUUAAGCUUGCAUUCAUGAAAACACAAUGGGACAACAAAAUAGGCUUGGUCUAUUUCACUAAGCUCCAAAUGCCGGUUAUCCUGUUAUUAUUUUCCAUAAAUUCUUGUUUUCUCCUGCCAAUCCUGUGCUUCAUUGUAUGCAGAGGUAUGGAUCCUAUAGCUGAUUGUCCUACAAUCUAAAGUAAAACAUAUAUAGAGUACCUCCAAUUUUUCAAUCCAAAGAUUAUCUUUUCCUCUGUCAAUUCGAGUUGACAAAAUAAUUUUUCUCGUUGCCCUAAUAAGCCUCAUCCUACAGCAUUUUCUUCAACCCAGUCUUCUAAAUAUCCAACCCCACAUAGUUUACAUAAAUGUUUUAAUUAUUGUCAUUCUUGUGAAAAUUUUUCCUAAACCACUACUUGUUGGUAGUUGCAGGUACAGACUAUUGUUGGUCUUUUUCCCUUUAGCGACCUGUAAUUUCCUAGAAAAACAUUUUUUUUACUUGAACAGGGAGUAACUUGGUAAUCUAAAAUCAAGAUCAAAAUUUGAUCAUCAAUUUGUUCUCCGCAGGCAACAAACGCUGAUAAGAUGCAUCAUCGUCCUGUCCAUUUGUGCUUUCUCUCCAAAAAUUUUCAUAUGCUGGUUAAUAUUUUACAACCAACCACUAUUUUAUUUUAUUGUUCCCAAGUUAUCUAUAAAUUUUAAAAACCCAUCGGCUGCUUCCAGCCAAACAGAUAUGGAUAUGAAAACCUAUAAGAAUCAUGGCUACACAAGUUAAGUGAACCCUAGAAGCGCCUCUAACCUCAAAGUGAAAUUUAUGGCCAUAGAGAAAUGGAACACAUACCAAAACACCCUUGUUCUCUUUCAUUACACCAAUAAAUAUCAACAAAGAUCUUCAUCAUUUGGUCCUAUGAAACGAGGCUUCCAGUUAUGCUAACCCUAGUUUUCAUGCCUUCUUUUGGUUAGACAGAUCUUUCAAAUCUGCUUUUAAUUCCACUUCAAGAAGAUCUUUUAUCACCCAUGCUCAAUGACCUAUGCUAUACAAACACGUGUAAUCGAAGCUAUAUACUCCCCACCAUCCAGAGAACAUAAGUUUGAGCACGUAAAGUAGCCGAAUCACAGUUACAAGUCCUGAUUCUGGCCCCUAGGAUGACAUCAACAUGUUAGAUGAAGAGACACCAAAUAAACCCAAAUUUAUUCGGGAAAUCAAGAACAAAGGAGAGGGUACCAACAGCCGCAAGUCAGGGCAGUGGAAGCCGCUCUUGCCAAGGUAAUGCUCCACAAGCUCGUCCGGUAUCUAAUCCACCAUACGAGACCAGGUAAGCCGGUUCCUUUAGGAUGCAUCAGGAAUCGAUUGACGGGGAUCAGAUUGUUUUACCGUGGGGGUGUAGUCCAUGAGGGAGGAGAGGAACUCGGUGAGGCCGGAGUCGUCGUCAUGUCUGCCCUCGCCCCCCAUCGAAGACGACGACGAGGAGUUCAUCGCCGCCCGCUGAUAGCCGCCUUCUUCGCCUCCCCUCGCCGACGCUGGCCCGCAAACGACGCCAAGAUAUCGCUUUGCUCCGCCCUCGGUGACGCUUACGCCUCUUUGAUCCCCGGACUCACAUGCCCCAUCCUUUAUCGGGUCGUAUGCGGGUUGGAUCCGCCCCCGGACUAAACCCGCAUCUAUAAUAAUAAUAAUGAUAAUAAUUAAUGUUUACCGCAAAUUAGUUCUCCUUAUCAAUCUCAAUUCGAUGGUGAGUUCAUAUCUUUGCGGUCCCCACAAAUCGCUGCGCCAAAGGAAAUGACCGCAGCGGUUCAAAAAAAUUCAAGCCCAUCGCCGCCCACUUCGGUGCCUCAGGCGACAUGGUUACUAUCCAACGAGAGGCACCGGUGAGCGGGCCCUCGCUGUUCCACGGUGGGCUCCACGAACGUCUCGAGUGAAAAUUGUCUGUACCCUGCCGGGAAUUCAACAGAGAAGCACGAGGCGCCCUGUUAGGGACCGACGACCAUGAGACGACGCCUGGUUUUGACGUGUACAGGCGACAGGUUUGUUGACCGAUGACGAAGCUCUCCAUAGCGGAACCCAUCGUUCCAAGGUGGGUCCGGGGAUAUUCGUGACUAAAGAAAGCUGAAUCCUGUCGCGGGCAAGGGAACGGCGGGGCAAAAGCGUAAACGCGGACUGUGGUUGCCCGUUCCGUGUCAUAACAGACACAGCUGAAAGGUGGGGGGAGGGGGAGCGGACGGGGGGAAAGAAACCCGCUGCCGAACGAAACCACUCCUUUCCGCCGCCGCCUCCUCCUUCCCCUUUACUUCCCCCCCUCUUUCUCUCGGCCGCCUCUCUCAACCGCCAACCGCUUCCGAUGGCCGAGGAUGCCGAGGUACGCUCCCAAGACCCAAAUCAUGAGCAAAAGAGCCCUUUGUUGUCUCGUCCAAUCUUGCCUAUGUUUUGCCUUUUGGAUAUUUGGUCGUCAUUUGCUGAUCUUGUUUGUGUGGUGUUUCGUGUUCUUCGUGGAGGAAUCGUUCAGAGAAUGGCGGCGCUGAAGCGGGCAUUUGCGGAUGUUAUCUUGAACACGGCGAAGGAGUCGGCGGUUCGGAUUCUGGCCUCGGAGCGGAGGGUGCUCCAGCUGCAGCAGAGUCUGUCGCUCGCCAGGGAAGAGUCACUGGACAUGCUUCUCCGAUUGAAGUCCAUCAUGGACUCCAAGGUGAUGGCUCUAUCUCCUAUUUCACAUUCUUCAACAUCCGUUCAGUUCUCUUUAUGGCAAAAGAUCGCUUUUAGGGGGGAUUUCUCUUCUCGAUAUCCAGUAUGCACGUUGAUAUGCUUGCUUAGUCAAGAUGAGCUCCUUAAGUUUGGUUGUUAGGCCCCAAAUAUCAUGUUAGGGCAUGCUGUUUGCUGGAUUAAUAGUUUCUGCCUAAGCUAUAAAUGCGGUUGCCAUUGCCUCUACUUUCUAAUGAAACGAAGUAUUGCUUAGCCAUGUCCAGUCAUAUCAGCUGUUUUAUUUUCUCUAGUAUUCUCUAUCUUUAUCACCAGAUAUAUGUCUCGUUUUUUAGAUUAGAAGAUUUGACUCUCUCCAUCCUGCUACAUCAUCAGAUAAAAUAUAUCCUAAUGUUUAGGAAACUUUAUAGGCCCAUAAUAUGCUGCAAACAUGAAAAAUCUGCUAACUAUAACAUUCAUGCUUAAUUUUACAAAAUGGUGAUUCUACAAUGCUUUGACAGCCACACAUCAGUUUUGUGUAACAUGGAGUAGUAACUAUGUAUUAAAUUUUCUUCAUGAAAGCAAAUAUAUUCAUGUUUUUUGGAUCUGGAGAUCAGAUGUCAUAUUGCCACCAUGAGAUUCAAAGCAAUCUCAUUUCAUUUUUUUUGUUCCUUCCAAGAGGAAGACAUUAUCAGGCAGUUGAAGUUACAUAAGUUUUGGACAUAGCUUUGGGGACCAAAAUAACCAAUUUAUAUUGUUUAUUAAUUUUUUCAGGAAUAUAAUUCAUACAUUAAUCAUUUUGCCUAUAUAGUAUAUACUGUGCUACUUGUUUCUAUCUUAUAACUAUUUUCAUGAAUAUGUUCUUUGUUGCAACAGAUACUCCCUAGAGGUUGGUUUUUGUAUUUUUGUUGCACUUAUGAUGAUAUACAAUAGUGGAACAACUUUAGAGGAUAUGGCACUUAUUAACUUGCUUUGUGGAAGUUGAUUUGGUUAAGGUCCUUAAUACUUCUGCUGGUGGUACUUUUUUUUAAAGUUUAGUUUGUUGUAGAAUGCUACAUAGUAAAUUGCUUUUGGCUUUGGUUAAGGUCCUUAUUACCUUUUGGCUUAUAAUUUAGAUGGGUUUUGAAGAAAUUGCUUACAAUGAAUGUUGGUUUUACAGAUUAAUGAAUCGGAAAAGUCCAAUCUAUCUCAGGUAAGGAAAAUUCAAAAACUUGAAGUUCAACUCGGUGAAGCAAAGGGUACAAUAAAUUUUCUUAGAUCUGAACUGAAGAGAUUGAAUUCUGAAUUGGAUCAAAGGAUGGAUAUUCAAGCUGAGUUUCCCGAUGGGAAAAGCACAGGUCACAAUGCCACUUCUGAGAAAUAUAAUUGUAAAGAAAACAUACAUAAUUCUGACUCACACCUGUACUCUAAAAGAGGAGCCAAAAGUGUACCGAAUUCUGACUGCUGCUUCACCAAAGGCGUGACACAAGAUGAACCUUUGAAUAAUUUGAUUGCAGUGGAUAAUUACGCUGGCAACCCUGACUUGGCAUCAAUAAUACUGAGCAACAAAGAGCCAGAGCUUUAUCGAAACGGAUGCACCCAGAGGAUUCGAGCUUUUGAGCGGAAUCAAGUAUCUGGGAAAGAGUUCUCUACACAAAUCCAUGACCAGGUCUCAGACAUAAAGAGUGAAACAAUGAUGUGUGAGAAUGGAAAACCUGAAAGGUCUCACACCAAAGAUUUUGCUAUGGUGAAGAAACCAGUGUGUCAUAGGAAACGAAGAGUGCAUUGUAAAAAGCAUAUUAUGAAGUCCACAGAAUGUGGUUAUCAUGACAUGCGACAUUGUAGAUCCCUGGAGAGUAGUCAUUCUAAGUUUUCUAUGGCAACUGACCAUAUGUCAAACAUAAAGAAUGAAACAAACAUGUGCGAGAAUAAAAAAGCUGAAAGGCCCUGGGCCAUAGAUUUUGGUAUGGCAGAAAAAAUAGUAAGAAGAAAAAUGCGGCGUCAAAAACGCAUGAGGCCUGCUAAAUGUAUUACUUAUCAUGACAUGCAACAUUAUGGACUGCUAGGUAGUAAUCAUUCCAAGGUUGGAGAAAAUGACAAGGAUAGAUCUGCUGGUAAUUCACAGAGGGCUAGCGGUGAAGCACCUCUAAAGACACUGGAUUCUUGUUCACCUCAGAUGUCUGGAGAAAAUCAGGAAACAACAAAAGAUCAAAAGACUAAGUUGAACAAAUUUUCCAAUCAUAGAAUCUCAGGGCUUUUAGAUGGCAAUAGAAUAAUGACAAGGAGAUCUGUUCUGAAACUAUGCAAUACUUGUGAAGAUCAUACUGGUGGAAGCCAUACUUCUGGUAGUGGAGCCACUUUUCAAGAAAAUAGUCUAAAGGAAUCUUUGGUACUAGGUACAAGUGAGGUGAUUGAUGAUGCAGUUUCAGAUGCUGUUAAAAAUGGCACACUGCUACAUGAGAUAAUGUUGUCAAAAGCAGAUGAUAAAUUAGCAGAAGAUUUGGGUACUUCUAUAACAAAAGAGGGUCACGAUGAUUGUAAAGAUGAACCUUUCAAGCCAUGUGGACCUGCUGCUGAAGAUCGAAGUGACAAAAUCCUCAAAUAUACCUUUCAGAGGAAGCGGAAGAGGGUUUCUAUAGAUAGCAAAGUUGACUCUACAUCUUUAGAGGGAAGCAUGUCCAAGCAAACAGUGGAGAAAGAUAAUGCUGUGCUGGACCCUCAGAAAUCUAGCUUACUAGUGGAAUCAUCCAGAGAGAGUAGGAGACUGGCACAGGUUGCUCGACAGGUUAGUGAAGUUACCUCCUCCCUGUUUCACAAAUGCAGUGUCUACAUGGAUAACAGGAACCUUAGUGUUCAAAAGACUAUGCAACUGGACUUAUGACAUCAUUUAUCUUUAAGUGACCAUGUAUUGACCUGUUAGAAAGUUCUUAUUAGUUAGAUCUGUUAGCAUAAUCAUUUCUAACAUGUCCAUAUAAAUAAACAAUGGGGAAAAGAUUCAAGAGAUAAUGCAGUAGUUAGCUUCUCUAAAUUACAUCUAACAUGAUUAAUAAUUAUUGGGAGGUACUUCAUCACCGUGCCUAUUGGUCCUUCAAGACUAAGGAUAUGAGGGCCUACAUAGGUAUUCUAUUCUAAUUGAUUAAUUUCAAAGAAUUGAUAUUUGAGUUUGAAAGGAAAGACAUGUGAUGUGACUUUAUCGAGCAUAAUUCUUGAUUGCAUUGUUGGUUUACUUUUCCUUUGCACCAUUCAUUGAUGUCAAGGAUAACUUCCUCAAAUAAUUGAAGUUCUGACAUAGUCUGUACUAAUCUUUUCUUUUCGCAUCUAGUUACGUAGGUGAAUGCAUUAUGACUAGAGGUGCCAUGACAAUUUCAUGUACUGGUGUAAACAAAGCUGAAAUGACCUGAUAGGGGGAUCAUGUUCAGGUGAGUCAAACAAACAUGAUGUUUCUGUUAGACCAAGCUCGAAAAGUGCUUGAUCCUCCAAAGUUCACACUCAGCUUCACCAAAAUCAUCAGGCCUAGUUCAUCUAUUUCGGAGAUUGAAGAAAUGGUUGAUGUUUUAUGGAGGUAGCUAGAACAGAAUCCAAGGACACAAGGGUGAGAAGAGGUGCAUGCAUGGGCAUUGAGAUGGAAGAUGAAGAUGGUAUGGCAUGGUGGCUACAAUGUGAAGAGAAGUGCGAUUACAAGGCAUGACAGAGAAGGCUAAAGAGAGAGAGAACUAUGGCCAAGUACCAGAGAAGUCUUAGGGUUUCAAAUCAUAUCUCAUAUUAUAUAUACUACUAUGUUAUCUCAGUUUUUAGAUAAAAAUAAAUGGCUAAAAUUAGAGAGCUCGAGUUUUAUACAACAACAAUAGGAUAUGAUGUCCCACCAAAAGACUCAAGCUAUAUUAUGCAAGGUUUAAAUCUUGAGCCAGUGUCGAUACUAGUUGGUGGCUGGACUAGUAUGGUACCAGUUUAUCUCAUCAUAAUGAUUCUUGGUACAGGUUGGUAUAUCACAAGCCCAACAGAAGAGGAGGUAGAGGAGCAAGAGGAACAUGAAAAGAAGAUAAAGUAGAGGAAGACAAGGGGGGAGAGAGGCGUACCUUAUGCUGGAGAGGAGGCAGCGACCCUUACAAGGAGGAGAAAGUGGUGGUGGUGGCAACCCUUACAAGGAGGAGAAAGUGGUGAGUGACGAGUUGGAGGCAGCAGUGGCAAAUUGGUGGGGAGGAAGAGGCGGAGGGGAGAGAGAUAUGAUGCAUGAGAGAAAGAAAGAGACUGUGCAACGAGAAAAAGAAAGGGAAAAGAAAUGAAAAAGAAAAGACAGCUGUCAAGCUAUCGAAAGAAAAAAAGAAAAAGGAAACCUAAUGGUAGGCUUACAAUUUGGUACACCCUGUUUCGAUUGAAAAAAGAGGAUGUUACAUCUGAGACGCUGAUUAUAUCAAGCUGUAAGCCUGGUAUGGAAUGGUACCAGACAAAAAUUUGUGGUCCACGUACCAAUUCACUGUUAGAAUGUUAAAUACUGGUCUGUACCUACCAGUACACUUGAUUUUUAACACCAUGAUGUUAUGUAACAUCUAUAGUAAGCAUAGGUGGACUUGCAAGAUCUUAAAGAAGGUGAGUUUUUCUUAACAAGCUGUACGCAAGAGUUAGCAAACAACACUAUUUCAGCGUAAGCUCAUGUCUUGCAAACAAGCCAAAUGACGAGCCAACCAUGUUCAGUUAGUAAACAUUGCAUUAGGCUUACUGCCCUUCAACCAUGUUUCUGUCUGUCAUGGCUAAGUGUUACAUUGGCCUUUCACCUAAAAUUUUGCAUUUCUACAGGCUUUACAGUGAUACUAGUGAAGAAUUAAAUCUAGGCAUAGGGAACUCUAUAUUAUAUUAUGCCACUAAUGAUGAAUCAAAUUUCAAUUGGAUUCUGUAGGUAUUUAAAUAAAUUUAUACAGACAUAUAUAUAGAUAAAUGUCAUCUUUUACUCAUUAAUUUCUACCCACAGAUUGGAAUGAUAGAGAACAAAAUUGACUUUGAGAUUUGAUGUUCCUUGAGAAUAUAUGCAGGCACCUUAAGUAUGCCUUUCCAUGGGAUUAUUUAUGAUUAUCCAAAAUAAUUUAGCCUAGUUUUUGCGACUAGAAACUAGAAACUUGAUUGUCGCAUUUUAAAUUCACUUAAUUAGAACCAGCCGAAUAGAAAACUUGUGGCUUGUGCCUUAAUUAAACUAUUCUGUUAAGAUUGUGCAAUACUUUAUGCAUAGUCCUUAGCACUCAAUACCUUUGCUUAAAAUAGGCUGGCUUUUGUGGAAAGGCAUCAUAACUAUUGAAGAUUCUCUCCAAAUAGUUUGAUGCUUUGAUCUUUUACCAAUGUUUUUCUUUUCCAAGUUCAUAGUAACCUGUAUAUGCACCCAUCAACUAAAAGCAUAUUUUUUUAGCUACUAUGAUGGACUUCCUCUAGUAUGGCCCUCAGUGUUGUUAAAUUAAAUAACUUAACUCCAUUCUGGUCAAAGUUUCUUGUAUGCAUGUGUCUUGAAUGAACAAAUGCAUCUCUGUUUGAGCAAAACCUCCCACUUCAUGUCUUUUUCAUAAAUUGAUCAUUUCCAUGAAAUCUAGUCAAAUCAAUUAUUUACUAUGAGAAGAAACUUGUACCCUUAAAAUAUUUAACCAUGCAAGUAUCUAACUUUUUUCAGUAUUGCAAGAAAAGAGUUGGCAACAACCAAGUAGGAUAUUUUUGUGAUUAGGACACUUGGCACACUAAACACUUGUUUUAGAAUAAAUCCCAAUCGUAAGAUAAGAGGCAGGAUUUAUGAACAUAUGAUAAGGGAAAAAAAGAGGAACAAAUGAACUGUCAAAGGCAAUAACUACUAGAGGAAUGUGUCUUGGUUAUUAGUGGACAUUUUUUAAAUAUCCUUUUAUCUAUCACCAUAACUGGUUAGGGUUGUUUUUUAGGCUACAUGAAUCUCAUUAAGCUUUGUGUAGGAAAGCAUCCCUAGUUAAAUUAAGAGAGAUCAAAUAUCUUAUUAUUCUUGCCACUAAAGUUCUCUUAGGUUUCUCUUUCUGCUCUCAUUAAUUUUAACUCACCUUAUUUAAUCUUUGUAUUUCUAUCUCUUUUUGAGCAUCUUCAUAUCAUUUCAAUUGAGUUUCUAUCGCUUUAUUUAUUUAAGGCUAUCUCUGUCUCAAGAAUUCCAUUUUGCACUGUGUCAGUCAAAUCGGUGUUUGUCGAUUGGACCAAGGAUCAAUAUUGGACCAUAUAGAUUAGUCCCGUUCAAUAUUUCUUAUUUCAUUAUUUUGUUCAAUGGAUAUCAAAUAGUAUGAGUCUGUACACCACCCAAUAAUAUCAAUAUCAUAUUAGUUCGACCAGUUACUGAAACUGGUAUCAGACUGCAAUUUGAAUCCUUGACCUAAACUGUUUGUGAAUUAGUAAUUAUGCACAUUUACCUUGGUUUCUUCUCUGCUAUGUAAACUUUUUUGUCUGAGAAAAGAGGAAAAAGCAGUAUAGGUGCUCCAGAGUAAGUAGAUGGAUCUAGGUCUUCAUAAUUGGUAGCAUCCUAGGUCCUAACAGAUAUCAAGGUUGAUCAAAUUAAUGUUCUAAAUAUUGGGCAUUUCACCCAUUAUUUUUUGGUCUGAUAGGGGAUUGACACGUGUCUGAUUCAAUUUAAAAUAGGGAAAAUUCUUUUACUUCUUAAAUUAUGGAUGGCUAAAAGCAAUAGUUGACAGGUUUCAACAACUUCCCUGCUCCUUUCUUUUUCCUCUGCCUUCCACAUCACAACUUCAACAUUCACCUUGUUCUGUCACUAUGUUGUCUCUUCCUCAUCUUCCUCCAUUUCUUCCUCUGUCUCAUCUUUUCCUCCAGUCAUACAAUGAUCUGUACUGGUCUGCCUGUUGAUCAAUAUCAGCACUGCACUGAGAUUUCAAAUCUUGAAUAAAAUAUUUACUGCUUUGUUAUUUCUUUUCUCAUUACUAAUGAAACAAGGGAAAACACAUGAAUCUAAAGGUCCAUGCUCAUCCUAUACUUCAAAACAAUUUCUAAUUCUUGUUAUAUUCCUGUAACAACAGAAGUAUAACUUCAAUACUAGUGACAUUUAUAGGUCCAGCAUUUCCACAUGGGUGGCUCUUUUGAGAGGCUCUGCUGGAUUGCAAAUUAUAUCUAAAAUUCUCAGGAGCUUAAUUUUCUACUCUUUUAUUUUCAGCUCAUUUCCUUGUCUGAGAGGAGAUGGUGAUGGAUCUACUGCUUUAUCGCAUGCAAAGUGCAUUUCUGGAGUCCAGAAGGAAGUUUUACACUUCAGUAUUUUCAGGACUGCUUCAUUGCUGCUCAGGUUCCAACUUGUUCCACAUUUGAACACAUCAAAGCAUGCAUCUCUGUUCCACCAUGUUGGCAGCUGUAAUGUAAACAUAGAAAAGGGCUGCAGCAAAAUAGAAGAAUUAUAAGAAAACUAGACAGUGCUACAGUUAAUGAUAUAUUCCAUGAUAAUCUCAGCAGAGUUCAGUCCUUGUUUUUUCCUCUUUUUAGUUAUUUAUGAUGUACCAUCUUCCAUUUUGAGAUAUAUAUUAUUCUCAUCCAGGCUUUCCUAGUCCCCACUGUCCGACACAUAUUGUAUCGGUUGGUUAAAGAUCAACUUGAAGAUGAUUCUUUGGUGGCUAUACCAUUAUGAACAUUUACACAAAUUGCAAUUCUGCAAAAUUCCAGCUUUUUAUGCUAUCUUCCAUGCUGUUGAAUUGCAUAUUUGCAUCUCUGUAGAUUGAAAAUAAGUGUUGCUUUACAACAGUUUUUUAUAAAUUAAUUCUAGAAAAGGAGACAUGAUUUCUAAAUGCAGAUAGGACAGCUCAUGAAAGAACUUCACAACUAGCUUCCUGUCAUUCAUGUGACAAGGUUACAAUGCAACUGUUUUCUUGAUAGUAGAGUUGUUUUCCAGUUUAAUAUGAUUCAAACUUUCCUGCUCCCCUUUUUUCAUGCUGCAAUAAAUUCUUGAUAGCGGAGAGUUGAGCUUAUGUUUUCUUGAUGGAGUUCCAGUUGAAGCUGUCCUUGUUAAGUGUUCCAUGUAAGUAGAUUCACUCUCCCUUCUUUAGUUUAUUGCUAUCAGUACAAUAUAAACAGUUGUAGUGUUUUAGUUUUAGAACACAACACAUAUGUUUUCCUCACACAAAAAAUGCCAUUUUUAUUGCAGAAAAUGUCAUUUACAUAAAAUGAAACAGUUGCUAUGAAUGCCUUUGAAGUGGACAAGAAAGAAUUGUAAAUGCUGCAUGCUUAAUUCACUGUGACAAGUUGUUUCAUUUUCACUUCAAAGCAUGGAGAGAUGUUUUUGUUUAUAAGAACAAAAAUUCCUAAUUAGUUUGGCAACUUCCAUUUCCUGUUUUCUUUUACUAUCUUAGGAAAUUCUAAAUAAAUUCCAUAUCUGUUCCUAAAAUAUAUAUUUGAAGCAUCUAAACAUCAUCUUUUUGCAGGUCAUCCAACCAUCUAAAAUUAUACCUACCACAAACAUGCUAUAAUACAAAACAAAAUAAAUAGAAGAAACAGUACAGUGUACUCCUCGCCACUACUGCCCCUACAAGUGUCAAUGCACCCAUAGCCCGCUCUACCCGAUCCGAACCUGACCCGGUAACACGAGUGAUGACCCCCGCUUCUUGAUCCGUUAAGCCAUUCGAUCGGAUCUGAGACAUUGAUCCAUACUCCAUUAACCCUACUGUUUGUUAUCGGAUUCGGGUUUAGAUUCCAGGAACAUCACGCUCAGAAUCCGACCCAUUUCCAUCCUACUUAUCUCUUAUUCAAAAGGAAAUCGAUACUUACCUUUAAACGUACGCCAAGACCCUUUUGUCAGGUCCUUCGUGGGCUCCAUUUGAGCUUCCAGUCUUCGCACGGGUAGCCGACGGAGUCGGUCGAACUUGUUGGACUGACCAUGCGGCAGUAGUAAUAUCCUAAUCCUUACAGGGGUGAUUUUGUAAAUUUGGUCACGUCUGGACCUCAAUUAAGCUGUCGUAACGAAAGAAUGCGAUUUGCAUUGUUGUUAUCCGGUUUGCUUCGUUCUGCGUUCCUUCGUCCUCUCCUCAUCCACACUCUUUGUUUCCGUCUUCUAUCCCCGAGAGAGAGAGAGGAGCUUCUUGUGGGUGAAAGAUGGAUUCAGAUGACGGCUCCCACGCCGCUAUGUCGCGCGACAUCGGCAGGAGAAAGAGGGUACUGGGUAUUCUUCCUCCUCAUCGAUUCGUGCGAUUCGAUGCCAAUUGCAUGCCUCAUCCGUUUGUUCUGCUGAUCAGACCAACAGGUCCGCGAAAUUGAAGCAGUGCAAGCUCGAUGCGAGGCGCGAGCAGUGGCUGUCGCAAGGUGCCCGUCCGAUUCGUUUGCCGCUAGGGAUUCGGUAGCGGGUUUUGGGGGGAACGAGUGGAUUGAGUUUAGUUCCUUCGGAGAUCGAAGGAUCUCUCUUUUGGGGUUUUAUUUUUUGGUCUUUUGGUGUCAAAAUUUGAUUUUGUUGUAGCUUUCCUGUUGAUCUGCAGUGAAGAGCAAGGAUUGCGUGGUGCGGAGCAGGGCACCUUCUGAUUCUCCUCCUCUCCCUCAUCCGACGCUCUCGAAGGAGUUAGGUCGCAGGCCGAAGGAAGAGGAGGAGGAGGAGGAGCAUCGGGAUGAGGUGGGGCUUGAUGGAUCGAGCUUUCACGGCAGCGAGGAAGGUUCUCCGACUCACCGCAGCCCUCUUCCCGGAUGCCCUAACAAUAGUAUUAGUAGCGGGAGCAGCUUUGGCUCCUCCUCGAGAAGCAUCAGCGAUGCCGAAGUGGAGGAAGAUGAUUCCGAGGAGAGAGGAGAAGAUAAAGGGGAAGUGGAGGAUUGGGAGGCCUUUGCUGAUGCGCUGUCUGCCGAUGAACCCAAUCCGAACCCCGUAGCAACCAUCCCGGAAUCUACCGCAGCACCCGGCAACACGAUCAAGGAUCGCGGUGAGGGCUUGGAAAAGCCGGAUGCUAAGCAGGCGGUGCACAGGGCUUGGAGGCCAGAUGAUGCUUUCCGUCCACGGAGCCUGCCCAACCUCUUGAAGCAGCGGAGUUUCCCUGCCAGCAUGGAGCGGCACUACGCCGCAGCUGGGUGGGCUCAGCAUGGCAUCCUCUCCACACCAUCUUCAUGCCCCAUCUGCUACGAGGACCUUGAUCCGACUGACUCGAGCUUCCUCCCCUGUAACUGUGGCUUCCGCCUCUGCCUGUUCUGCCACAAGCGGAUUCUUGAGGUAGACGGGCGGUGCCCCGGGUGCAGGAAGCAUUAUGCUCCUGCGGUGGGUGGUGAGGUGGGCACCGUGAGAGGAAUGCCACCCUCGACUCUCCGCCUCUCUCGUUCUUGUAGCAUGAGUUCAAGAACUUAGGGUGAGAGUUUACAGUACUUCUUCCGUUCUCUCUAGUGAGUAUUCUCAUUUAAGGAGCUAUGGGUCUAUUGUGUUUUCAUUGUUAUAGAGCAUAUGUUGAAGUUUCUCAUAAGGAAAGCCAUGUGAAUAUGGGCAUAGGGUUUGGGCUUAUAAGAACUGAUUUUGUCAGCUUAGUGCAGUUAACAUGCUCUGCUUCAUUCACAUGGAUGUGUCUAUGUGUGUGGACAGAUAGAUUUUAUCAUGUAUAAAAACUGUUACAAUCUGCUAAUCAUUGUAGGUUGAAGUUUGAACAUUCUCUUAUAAUUGCUUUUGAUUUUAUACAGGGAAGAUCAUUUCGAUAUUUGUUUUAUUGAGUUCUAUUUUGUAGAUUAGUUUCUACUAAUAUAUAUGUGGAACACAUCCGUCACACUGCAUCAUUGCAUUUUUUUUUCUAAAUGAUGCUAGGAACUUAUUGGUUGUGUUCCUACAUUGGUACUGUGAAUGAUUUUUCUAGUGGUCUUCCUCUCUCCUAAUGCUUUUGUACAUGCAGCGUAGCCGCAUGUUUCUGUUAUAGUGUACAUUGCAUUCCGAAAGGUGAAGAAAAGUGGAGUCGGAGGCGCAUUCAGGCUGUGAACGAAUCUGUCGAGCUGUUUCCGGUAUUUCAUCUCUUACAUGCAUUUGGCUUCGGAGAUGGUGAGCUAGCUUAAUUCUAUUUAUUGAGCCAAGUUUAUGUCUAAUUAAUUUCCAUUUAGUUCUGCUUUCCAAAAACACAAAAAAUACAUAUUUCUAGACAUCUUCAGAAUUUUAUUGAAAAUGUGAGACUGGUAAGAUUCAUAUGAUAGGUAUAGUGUCUUAAUAGGAAUCAACCAUAGAGGAAAUGUAUUCCACCAAAAAAUUCUCAUUUGAUUGGCCUACAUUCUUGACAGAGUGCUACAAUUUCAGUUCUUUAGACAUGUCAAUGGUUGAUUCAUACAAGGGAUCUCAUAUUAAAUGGGAGCAUUCUUCUUUGAAAGAAUUGGCUGUACUAAUGAGUUUUAUUUUCAUUUUUUAAGAUAAGGUUUCAGUUUGGCAACAGUUGUCGUCGUCCUGCCUUACUACUCCAUAUCCUUCUACAUUCCUUCUUUCCUGUUCUCUUUAUACUGUUCUGUGAGAAUCCAUGCAGCAGCUGAUUCCUUAUUGAUUUUGAUUUCAACAGGGAGUUGUCUUCAGUUUCAAUGGUUGAUUCAUACAAGGGAUCUCAAAUUAAAUGGGAGUAUUCUUCUUUGAAAGAAUUGGUUAUACUAGUGAGUUUUAUUUUCAUUUUUUAAGAAAGGUUUCAGUUUGGCAACAGUUGUCGUCGUCCUACCUUCCUACUCCAUAUCCUUCUUUCCUGUUCUCUUUAUACUGUGUGAGAAUCCAUGCAGCAGCUGAUUCCUUAUUGAUUUUGAUUUCAACAGGGAGUUGUCUUCCUGUCUUCUUCCUCCAGAUUCUUCUACAUUUCUUCCACCCUGUUCUCUUUGUUUUGUUCUUUGAGAAUCAUGGAGCAGUUGAUUCCUUAUUGUUCCAACAGGGUUGAGUUGUCUUCCUCUGUAUUCUUCUUUCUUCUUCUCUAUAUGCCGAGGUAUGGGGAAUCCAUGAAGUAGCUGUUGAUUCCUUAUGGAUUCCAGUCAGUUCUCUACUGUUUAGAAUUGAGCUCAUGUUUAGGUUCAGCAUAUUGAGGAAAGAGUUAAGUGAUGAAUGUUUAGCAAUUGCUCAAGGGUAAGCUUUGUAGUCAAAUUGACAAUAAACCAUGCAUCUUUCUUGACACCAAUUCUAGUGUUAUUGUGUGCUAUAGUACAUCUGUCAUAUAUGCACGAGGAAACCCUAAAUUGUUCUUUAUUCACAUAUUGUCACAUUUCCAUCAUGGGAGAGUGGAAGAAUCAAGAUCUCCAGGAUGAGAUUAAUCAAACAUUGAAGAAUCAGUUGAUGCAGUUUAGAUCAUGUAAGGGUCAGAUCUACUCAGCAUACACAAUUAAUUCUCAGCUUUAGGGUUUAGGGGACAUGUUAGGAAGGGGAGUUUGUCUGGUACAAUGAACAUAGUUUAAUCUUUAUCAAAAAGCUUAUCAUCUUCCUCUUUCAUUAUUUUCUUCCCUCUCUGUUCAUUGACUUCAUUCUAUCCUUUUAUCUGUCAAACAAAACCCUAUCCAGCAUUAGAUGUGCAUCCUAAUUCUUCCAUCCCUGCUCUGUGAUUGUGCCCAACCCUACUGCUGUAUCAUUGGACAGCAUUGUUGUUAUCACAUUUUCUACCCUAGCAUGCCACCCUCCGUUGGUUUUGUAUCUUCAUCAAUGUUACCUUUUCUAUCCAGUGGAAUGAAGGUUCUUUAGUGCAGCUUGAUAAAUAUGUUGGAGCUUAUCCUAUGCAUGUGUAUCUUUAGAAGUCUGGAAGCUUAUAUGAAAAAUUCUAUUGGACAUGUAGAAGCUGUAUCUUAUCAUAUGAAGUUAACUUUUUCUAUUAUGGCUCCUGAUGUAAAAAACAAUCUAAAAAUGCACUGUGCAUUGUAAGUUGGAUAUAUCUGAAUUGAUGCCUUAGCAAAGUCCAUAAAGCCUCAAAAUAACAAAUUCAGAAGAACAUAAAAUAAAAUCUGAACUCUUGAUGACUUGAGCAAUUUUAAGGCAUCCAUUAUUACUGCAAUCUUGGCUUCCCAACAUUUGGAUGUUAGGAUACUAAUUUAAGCUUCAAAUUGAAGCUUUGAAUUUACAAGAAGCUACUGAAUAUUAUAAAUCAAUGACACACACUGUCUUUGAGAACACAGUGCGAUCUCAAACAAACACGACCCAAUAUCCAUGGUUUCGAACAAGGGUUUUAUUAUCACUUUGAGCUGAUCCUCCUGAAAUGCUUCACUCUGUUUCCGGCCUAGUAAAGAAAUUGUUGAUUGCUGGCAUGAUCUCUGGGUUUUUGUUCCGGACAAAUUUACGGAGACUAUGCUCUGCAUAUUUCUCUCCCUCCGCAUGGUUAUCCAGCACUCCCGCAGCCCUGCCUUCCUUGCUAACUCUGGAAAUCACAAAAAAAACACUUCACUGUUGACGCCAUAACGUCCACAAACAGAAUGCACUAGUAGAAGCCCGAGAAAAGACGAGGUUAUUUUCACCAAUUAGAAUGCUCAUCAACUGGUUAAGUAAUUAGUAACAAUAUCAACUGAUGAAUGUAUGGGUCUUAUUGUGCUUCACCCUAGUUUUUCUUUGCACUUGUGCAUGUCAUGAUGAUUUAGAGAGGUGAUUGAAGUAAACAUGAGAAAGCAAGCCAGGAAACUUGACAAUGUAGCAUAUGGUUUACAAGCAAAAUGCACAUAAGAAGCCCAUAAGAGACUAGGCAUGAUGAUUUAGAGACGUGAUUGAAGUAGACAUGAGAAAGCAAGCCAGGAAACUUGACAAGGUAGCAUAUGGUUUACAAGCAAAAUGCACAUAAGAAGCCCAUAAGAGACUAGGCAUGAUGAUUUAGAGACAUGAUUGAAGUAAACAUGAGAAAGCAAGCCAGGAAACUUAACAAGGUAGCAUAUGGUUUACAAGCAAAAUGCACAUAAGAAGCCCAUAAGAGAAUAGGCACAUCACAACUAGAACAUUUGACCAUUGGUCAACGACUUUAGAUAAUUCCUCAUAUAUGCAGAUCAAUCAAGUUUAAAAAAAAAUCAGGAUCUUCUUAUGGUUCACUCUAGUUUUUUCUUGCACUUUUGCAUGUAAUGAUAACUUAGAAGGGUGACUGCAAGGAAGUAACAUAGGAAGCAUGCAACGAAAUUUCGUAAGGUAGCCUUAUAGCAUUACAACAAAAUGCAUAUCAGAAUCCCAAACGAGAUCAGUCGUGCCAGCUAAAAAUUUCAUAGUACUCAAUAGAAUACUUCACAUUAGGUUAUCGAAUAAAAUCUCAAAGAAUGGAUCUCAUCAUAUAUGCAUAUGAAAUUGAGAGUUCUAGGCAGAAUAGAAAUCCUAAUCUAAAAGGAUUUAGNNNNNN
rnacentral:lncRNA from 1 species